GACAGCUGGCGCACCUCCUGCACUUGCGAUUUCACCAGCUGAAUGUGGUUCCUGGCGGUCGCAGAUGCCUGAUCUGCUCCUGCAAAAAGACGGGACAACUAAGCUGAGCAGGCACAGGGGUUUAUGUUCUGUUAAAUCUUUCCUGCCUGGGACGUGGUUCCAUAGUGUAGUGGUUGCACGUCUGCUUUACACGCAGAAGGUCCUGGGUCCAUGGUCCAUGGUCUAUGGCCAUGCCACCCUGAACAAGCCUGAUGUCUGAUCUCGGGAGCUAAGCAGGGUCGGGCCUGGUGAGUACUUGGAUGGGAGACCAGCAGGGAAGACCAGGUGCUGCAGGUGUAGAUAAUGAGAAGUCAACCUUUCCUGCCGUCUUUGUCCCCUCCCUCCAUUCCUUUUGUAGCUGUCUCACGACGUCUAGUGCUAAGCCAGCGUCUCCUCCCACCGUACGGAGGGCUGAGCACGCUUUCGCUUCUUUCUCGAACUGAUUUGAUUAUUUAAAAAUUGGUUUAAUACUGAACUUCUGACAAAUUUUACUAAAUUUUGUUCAUUCUUCUUGUAUCUCAGUUGCUUCUUUCUAAUUUUUCUUCACAGAGUGGUUUUUCCAGAAAGCAAAUGUGUUUGGUAAACCCUGAGUCUUUAUAUGUCUUAAAAUAUCUUUCAUUCUCACAUUUUAACACUUGGCUAGAUAUAAAAUUCUCUGUUAUUAGAUUUAUCACCUUGCAUCUGGGGUUGCUGAUAAGACUGAUGUCUGAUUAUACUUCCUUUGUAGAUAUAUCUAAUUUUUCUUAGUUUUUAGGAUUUUUCUAUGUAUAUUUUACAUUCUGAAUCUUUUUGGCCAUGAUUGAAAAAAAUUCUGUUCAGACCCUUCGUGAGCCCUUUCAACCAGUUCUGGGAAAUGUCUUAUUUUUUCAGAUAAUGCUCACACUUACGCUCCCUCUUUUCUGCUGCUAGAUCUGAGCCCGCCUAGGGGAGUGGUGACGGUUACCCGGGGACGUUCCUGCUGCAGCACCUCAAGCCACCUCCCUGCUCACAGCACCUGGAAGCCCUGCUCCCACCUCCGGUGCCGCGGCUGUUAAUGCUGCCUGCACACCACGACAGUCCCAUUCGCCAGGGCAGGCCUCUUUUUAGAAUCUCCCGUUGCUUAGGUUUUAGUUAACUAAAAAUUCUUUUUUGUUUUUACUUAAAAAAACAUCUCUUGUAUGCUUUUUAAGCUUUGGUGCUUAAGUCCCAAGUCUAAUACCCUGAAAUCAGAAAACAAAAGUGUUUUUAACAUACCAGUUUCUUAGUAAGAGCUGAUCCUAGGCUAUAAUUUCUGUGAGCUACCUUGUUUGGGAUCAGUCAGGUUAAGACGUUAAACUAGUUUUCCUCAAAAUACAUUUACUUAAAAAACCAUUUUUGCCCAAGCCCACUGGAUGGAUAAUGAUGUUCAACAAGCACCAUGGGGACAGCGUAACCGCAUCUGCGGCUCUGGAGCACCGAGACGCAGACGGUGGAGCCUGGCCACUGGGAGCAAAGGCUUCAGAAUCUGAUCUACCUGGCUACUAAGUCCCAGUUUGGCUGCUUGCUUCUUGUGCCACAGCAUCCUGGGUGAAUUACUUAGACCCUCUGUCCCCCAGUUUCUUCACCUGUAAAGUAGGAAUGUUAAUAAUAGGUCCUACUUUAAGGGAACUAUGGAAGGUUAAAAUAAAAGUUCCUGAAAUAGACAAAUACAGCUACUCAUAAAUUAUCUGGGUUAUAAGAAAAUAAAAUGCUUAAAAUUU